CCUACGGGUGGCAGCAGUCGAGAAUCAUUCACAAUGGGGGAAACCCUGAUGGUGCGACGCCGCGUGGGGGAAUGAAGGUCUGCGGAUUGUAAACCCCUGUCAUGUGGGAGCAAAUUAAAAAGAUAGUACCACAAGAGGAAGAGACGGCUAACUCUGUGCCAGCAGCCGCGGUAAUACAGAGGUCUCAAGCGUUGUUCGGCAUCACUGGGCGUAAAGCGUGCGUAGGCUGUUUUGUAAGUCGUGUGUGAAAGGCGCGGGCUCAACCCGCGGACGGCACAUGAUACUGGGAGACUAGAGUAAUGGAGGGGGAAGCGGAAUUCUCGGUGUAGCAGUGAAAUGCGUAGAUAUCGAGAGGAACACUCGUGGCGAAGGCGGGUUGCUGGACAUUAACUGACGCUGAGGCACGAAGGCCAGGGGAGCGAAAGGGAUUAGAUACCCUAGUAGUC
rnacentral:rRNA from 1 species